rnacentral:rRNA from 1 species
UACGUAGGGGGCAAGCGUUGUCCGGAAUCAUUGGGCGUAAAGCGCGUGUAGGCGGCUUGGUAAGUCCGUUCUGAAAGCCCGGGGCUCAACCCCGGGAGGCGGAUGGAUACUGUCAAGCUUGAGUCCGGAAGAGGCGAGUGGAAUUCCCGGUGUAGCGGUGAAAUGCGCAGAUAUCGGGAGGAACACCAAUGGCGAAGGCAGCUCGCUGGGACGUGACUGACGCUGAGACGCGAAAGCUAGGGUAGCGAAUGGG